GAUGAACGCUGGCGGCGUGCCUAACACAUGCAAGUCGAACGAUGAAACCGCCCUCGGGCGGACAUGAAGUGGCGAACGGGUGAGUAACACGUGACCAACCUGCCCCUUGCUCCGGGACAACCUUGGGAAACCGAGGCUAAUACCGGAUACUCCUCGCCCCCCUCCUGGGGGGCCCGGGAAAGCCCAGACGGCAAGGGAUGGGGUCGCGGCCCAUUAGGUAGUAGGCGGGGUAACGGCCCACCUAGCCCGCGAUGGGUAGCCGGGUUGAGAGACCGACCGGCCACAUUGGGACUGAGAUACGGCCCAGACUCCUACGGGAGGCAGCAGUGGGGAAUUUUGCGCAAUGGGGGAAACCCUGACGCAGCAACGCCGCGUGCGGGACGACGGCCUUCGGGUUGUAAACCGCUUUCAGCAGGGAAGAAAUUCGACGGUACCUGCAGAAGAAG
rnacentral:rRNA from 1 species